CGAGUCUGAUGGAGCACGCCGCGUGAGUGAAGAAGGGUUUCGGCUCGUAAAACUCUGUUGUUAAAGAAGAACAUAUCUGAGAGUAACUGUUCAGGUAUUGACGGUAUUUAACCAGAAAGCCACGGCUAACUACGUGCCAGCAGCCGCGGUAAUACGUAGGUGGCAAGCGUUGUCCGGAUUUAUUGGGCGUAAAGCGAGCGCAGGCGGUUUUUUAAGUCUGAUGUGAAAGCCUUCGGCUCAACCGAAGAAGUGCAUCGGAAACUGGGAAACUUGAGUGCAGAAGAGGACAGUGGAACUCCAUGUGUAGCGGUGAAAUGCGUAGAUAUAUGGAAGAACACCAGUGGCGAAGGCGGCUGUCUGGUCUGUAACUGACGCUGAGGCUCGAAAGUAUGGGUAGCAAACAGGAUUAGAUACCCCCGGGGUAGUC
rnacentral:rRNA from 1 species